CGUUGGAUUAGCUAGUUGGUAGGGUAAAGGCUUACCAAGGCGACGAUCCAUACCUGGUUUGAGAGAAUGGCCACCCACACUGGGACUGAGACACGGCCCAGACUCCUACGGGAGGCAGUGGGGAAUAUUGGACAAUGGGGGGAACCCUGAUCCAGCAAUGCCACGUGUGUGAAGAAGGCCUUAGGGUUGUAAAGCACUUUCAGCGGGGAGGAAGGUAAGCUAAUUAAUACUUGGCUUAAUUGACGUUACCUGCAGAAGAAGCACCGGCUAACUCCGUGCCAGCAGCCGCGGUAAUACGGAGGGUGCGAGCGUUAAUCGGAAUUACUGGGCGUAAAGGGCGCGUAGGCGGAAGAUUAAGUUGGAUGUGAAAUCCCAGGGCUCAACCUUGGAACUGCAUCCGAAACUGG
rnacentral:rRNA from 1 species